rnacentral:rRNA from 1 species
GGCCUAUUGAUAAUAAUUUUAGGUCUGACCUGCCCAAUGAUUGAGAUUUAAUGGCCGCGGUAUAUUGACCGUGCAAAGGUAGCAUAAUCAUUAGUUUUUUAAUUGAAAACUUGUAUGAAUGGUUUGAUGAAAAAAUAGCUGUCUCUAUUUAAAUUAGUUAGAAUUUUAUUUUUAAGUUAAAAAGCUUAGAUAUAUAUAGAAGACGAGAAGACCCUAUAGAGUUUUAUAGUUAUCUUUGCAAAUAAAAUUUUAGAAUUUUUUAAUUUGGGGAGAUAAUUAUUUAGUUGGGGUGAUAGAAAAAUUUAAUAAACUUUUUUUAUAUUUUUACAUUUAUUUAUGAAUUUAUGAUCCUUUUUUUAAGAUUAAAAGAUAAAAUUACCUUAGGGAUAACAGCGUAAUUUUUUUUUAGAGUUCUAAUCGAGAAAAAAGAUUGCGACCUCGAUGUUGGAUUAAAAUAAAUUAUUGGUGUAGGGGCUAAUAUAUUGGGUCUGUUCGACCCUUAAAAUUUUACAUGAUCUGAGUUUAAACCGGUGUAAG